UACGGGGGGGGCAAGCGUUGUUCGGAAUUACUGGGCGUAAAGGGCUCGUAGGCGGCCAACUAAGUCAGACGUGAAAUCCCCAGGCUCAACCUGGGAACUGCGUCUGAUACUGGAUGGCUUGAAUCCGGGAGAGGGAUGCAGAAUUCCAGGUGUAGCGGUGAAAUGCGUAGAUAUCUGGAGGAAUACCGGUGGCGAAGGCGGCAUCCUGGACCGGCAUUGACGCUGAGGAGCGAAAGCCAGGGAAGCAAACGGG
rnacentral:rRNA from 1 species